UGGGGAAUAUUGGACAAUGGGGGCAACCCUGAUCCAGCAAUGCCGCGUGUGUGGAGAAGGUCUUCGGAUUGUAAAGCACUUUCGACGGGGACGAUGAUGACGGUACCCGUAGAAGAAGCCCCGGCUAACUUCGUGCCAGCAGCCGCGGUAAUACGAAGGGGGCUAGCGUUGCUCGGAAUGACUGGGCGUAAAGGGCGUGUAGGCGGUUUACACAGUCAGAUGUGAAAAUCCCCGGGCUUAACCUGGGAGCUGCAUUUGAUACGUGUAGACUAGAGUGUGAGAGAGGGUUGUGGAAUUCCCAGUGUAGAGGUGAAAUUCGUAGAUAUUGGGAAGAACACCGGUGGCGAAGGCGGCAACCUGGCUCAUGACUGACGCUGAGGCGCGAAAGCGUGGGGAGCAAACAGGAUUAGAUACCCUGGUAGUCCACGCUGUAAACGAUGUGUGCUAGAUGUUGGGUAACUUUGUUAUUCAGUGUCGC
rnacentral:rRNA from 1 species